rnacentral:rRNA from 1 species
CCUACGGGAGGCAGCAGUGAGGAAUAUUGGUCAAUGGGCGGAAGCCUGAACCAGCCAAGUCGCGUGAGGGAAUAAGGCCCUACGGGUCGUAAACCUCUUUUGCCGGGGAGCAAGGGCGGGGCCGUGUCCCGGCCCGGAGAGUACUCGGAGAAGAAGCAUCGGCUCACUCCGUGCCAGCAGCCGCGGUAAUACGGAGGAUGCGAGCCUUAUCCGGAUUUAUUGGGUUUAAAGGGUGUGUAGGCGGGCUUUUAACUCCGGUGUAAAGAUUCGGGUAUCAACCCCGUACGGCCGUUGAAACUGGGGGCCCUGAGUGGGCGAGAAGAAGGCGGAAUGCGUGGUGUAGCGGUGAAAUGCAUAGAUAUCACGCAGAACCCCGAUUGCGAAGGCAGCCUUCCGGCGCCCUACUGACGCUGAGGCACGAAAGUGCGGGGAUCGAACAGGAUUAGAUACCCCAGUAGUC